UACAGAGGAGCCAAGCGUUGUCCGGAUUGACUGGGCGUAAAGCGCACGCAGGCGGUUGCGCGCGUGGGGUGUGAAAUCUGGCCGCUUAACGGCCAGGCGCCAUCCCAUACGGCGCGACUGGAGUGAUGCAGAGGUCGAUGGAAUUGCCGGUGUAGUGGUGAAAUGCGUAGAUAUCAGGAGGAACACCUGUGGCGAAAGCGGCUCACUGGACCAUAACUGACGCUGAUGCACGAAAGCUAGGGGAGCAAACAGG
rnacentral:rRNA from 1 species